rnacentral:rRNA from 1 species
UACCAGCACCCCGAGUGGUCGGGACGUUUAUUGGGCCUAAAGCAUCCGUAGCCGGUUCUACAAGUCUUCCGUUAAAUCCACCUGCUCAACAGAUGGGCUGCGGAAGAUACUAUGGAGCUAGGAGGCGGGAGAGGCAAGCGGUACUCGAUGGGUAGGGGUAAAAUCCGUUGAUCCAUUGAAGACCACCAGUGGCGAAGGCGGCUUGCCAGAACGCGCUCGACGGUGAGGGAUGAAAGCUGGGGGAGCAAACAGG